GUAACUCUUUGAGACCCAGAGUCACACUGAAGCUCCAGUCUCAAUAUCAUGGAAAGGAGCCGACCACCAAUAUGAUUAUAGUGGAUUUGAAAAUGCUGUCUGGGUUUGUCCCAGACC